rnacentral:rRNA from 1 species
UGGGGAAUUUUGGACAAUGGGGGCAACCCUGAUCCAGCCAUGCCGCGUGCGGGAAGAAGGCCUUCGGGUUGUAAACCGCUUUUAGCCGGAAAGAAAAGGCGGCUCCUAAUACGAGUCGUUCUUGACGGUACCGGCGGAAUAAGCACCGGCUAACUACGUGCCAGCAGCCGCGGUAAUACGUAGGGUGCGAGCGUUAAUCGGAAUUACUGGGCGUAAAGCGUGCGCAGGCGGUUCGUUGUGUCGGAUGUGAAAGCCCCGGGCUCAACCUGGGAACGGCAUUCGAAACUGGCGAGCUGGAGUGUGGCAGAGGGGGGUGGAACUCCUGGUGUAGCAGUGAAAUGCGUAGAGAUCAGGAAGAACACCGAUGGCGAAGGCAGCCCCCUGGGCCAACACUGACGCUCAGGCACGAAAGCGUGGGGAGCAAACAGG